rnacentral:rRNA from 1 species
UGGGAUGCUGGUAUUUUUUCCAAGAAAAGCUCAUCCGACUUCGAGUCUAGACUACCUGUACCGUAAACCGACACAGGUGAGUGGGUUGAAUAAACUAAGGGGAGCGAGAUAACUCUCUCUAAGGAACUCGGCAAAUUGGCUCUGUACCUUCGGAAGAAAGAGUGCCCCUCAGGGGGCCGCAGUGAAGAGAUCCAGGCGACUGUUUACCAAAAACACAGGUCUCCGCAAAGUCGUAAGACGACGUAUGGGGGCUGACACCUGCCCAGUGCCAGAAGGUUAAAGAAGUUGGUCAAUCUUUGAUGAAGCUAACAACUGAAGCCCUGGUGAACGGCGGCAGUAACUAUAACUGUCCUAAGGUAGCGAAA